rnacentral:rRNA from 1 species
UACAGAGGUCCCAAGCGUUGUUCGGAUUCACUGGGCGUAAAGGGUGCGUAGGUGGCGAGGUAAGUUUGAUGUGAAAUCUCCGAGCUCAACUCGGAAACUGCAUUGAAUACUAUCUUGCUAGAGGGUUGGAGGGGAGACUGGAAUACUUGGUGUAGCAGUGAAAUGCGUAGAUAUCAAGUGGAACACCAGUGGCGAAGGCGAGUCUCUGGACAUUUCCUGACGCUGAGGCACGAAAGCCAGGGGAGCAAACGGG